UUUAGGGGAAAGAGUUCAGUUGUAUCAGGCUAUUUAGGGGGCUAGCUGCAAGAAUGCAGAGACAUUUCUCACACUAGUCCACUUGCUUACUAAUAUGAAUAACUAAUGAUUAAAGCAUCUGAUCUACCGAGGGCUGUGAGAUUAUUAGACCAGGCUUGUGAAACUUCUUUGUCACUGUCUGGAAAAGCCAGACUUCUCUGGAUGUUGCAGUUUAAUUUUUUUCCCCUCCUCAGAGGAUGUGGUAUGGCUUCAGCCAAUAAUUUAGAAUCAGCAGAGAGUGACACGGCAUCAAAAGCAACACUAAAUGUACUGAUCCUCUUCUUCGCCUGGGCUAUGUGAGUUGCAACUACCUUUAAGCAAGUUUCUGAGCUUUUCUUACUUGUUUCCAGUGAGCGUGCUUCUUCCUUUACCCAGACUGGCAAAGUAGCAAAAAUGAGACAGCAUCACGCUCUGCUGGCUCUGCAAUUUACAUAGUGCUGUCGGCUUAUUUCCUUGCUUGGUGCUUGAGUGUGACUGAUGAUACAAGUCUCAACACAGAGCUGGGAACAGCGUCAGGGCAUGCCUCGACAUACAAGAGUUACCAGUGAAUUGCAUGAGUGUGGGAGGAGCAGGUCAUCUGGCUCUCAUCUCGGAUGAAAUUAAAGAUACACUGGUAUAGUGGUUAAUGCUCCAAAUUCACGGACAGUAAUAAAAAUAAUGUUGCCCAGAAAGCAGCAGGAGGCAUGCUGGAGAAAAAGAGACAGGCCAAUAGAAUGAACAGAAAUGUUUGCAUCAUUGUCAGAUGGAUGACCAGGCUGAUUAUUGUACUUGGCUUGCUCAGCUCUUCAACGGCAGACGACUUUCUAGGUAAUUGUACACAAUGUAUUUGGGUAUGAAAAUGGGACUGCCCCAAAAGAAACAAAAACCCAUGGGAUUGCGGAAGGAUUUAGUGAAAGAAGUGGAUGAAUAAUGUUGUCAUAUUGAUCUCUGACUGCUCUCAUUCUCUUCCCACCCUUUCUGUCUCUGUUUCUCUCUCCCAGACAUGCUAAAGUAUUCAAAUGAAUCAGCACUAAUUAAAUACACUUGGGCAGUCUUACAUUAGCUCUAAAAAAACCCCACCAAAAAAUCUAUGAUCAAGUAAUACUACAUUUUACUGAAAUUAACAAAAGAAUUCUGGGUUAAGGUUGAAACUCCUCCUUCAGUGAUCAUACUAUAAAUGCAGCAAAGAGUCC